AUGAAGCUCUCACUCGCUUUCACGGCUGUAGUCAUCUUCUUCCUCAACAUUCCACCGUUCGAGGCCAGACCCAGACCACUUGGCCUUGGUGCGCAUCCCUCUCGCCAUUACCAACUCAAUUCCGAGGAACAGCAAAGGAACAUCCCUAUCGCGGGUAAGGAAGAACAUCUGCGCCUCUCUCCGCUGCCUCGCCCGGGAGCAGCAGGGGAGGCCGGAGAGGCGGCUCUGGUGAGCUACGAACCGGGACGGAGGAGCGGUGACGCCGAGGAGGAAGCCGUCCCAGGAACCCCGCCGGAUGAUGAGUUGCGCCGGUCAGCAGCGCACUCGCCGCCGGCACAGGAGCGCAACCCGGCGCACUAUCGUCAGCCAGCUGGGCGGUGGGGUCCCGUGCCCGGGGUUGGUGGGUCGCGCAAGCCGUCUCGGCCCCCGGCGCCUGGUGUGCCGAAGCCGCCGCACUGGCGCCGCUCAGGUGAUCGGUCCGGCCCGAGGCCGAGGCCGUUCGAUGUGUUCCACGCGCUUCCAUUGAGGCGACGGCCGGCAGGGCUGAUAGAGAUUGCAGGCUCUGAGGCUGCGGCGGCGCCGGCGCCGGCGGGGGCAGCAGUCACCAGCACGAGGAGCGAGGGGAGCUGCUAUAGUGAUUGGGAGAAGGUGAUGGAAGAAGGGCCCUAUAUCUUCCAUGGCAAUGACAGUUUCAUGACCCUUCAAAAAAAUGAGGGUUUCAUGAAACCCUCAUUAGAAAUUUGCAUUCAAAUCCAUGAUUUGAUCGACAUCAACAGUAAGGAAAGGGAAACGUUUGCGCGCAGUGCGCCGACGGAACGCUCGGGCCGGUCACUUUGCCACGCUGGCGCUAGCCAUCAGGAAGCCAACACGUGUAUUCUUUAUCCUCUUCCCAAUGCUGCAUCUACUCCUUCUUCCCCGCGACUGUCCAGGCAACGAACUCUAUGGAUCCAGGCGGGCCUGCAGCUCCUGCCUCCGAUGCUGUUCGUGCGCCCCAAGGGGCUGUUGGAAAUAUGA
rnacentral:rRNA from 1 species